AGCGCAGGCGGUGACUUAAGUCUGAUGUGAAAGCCCCACGGCUCAACCGUGGAAGGUCAUUGGAAACUGGGUCACUUGAAUAUAGAAGAGGAAAGUGGAAUUCCAUGUGUAGCGGUGAAAUGCGUAGAUAUAUGGAGGAACACCAGUGGCGAAGGCGACUUUCUGGUCUAUUAUUGACGCUGAGGCUCGAAAGCAUGGGUAGCAAACA
rnacentral:rRNA from 1 species